UGGGCAAACUUUUAAGUCUUCAAAGAUUGAC
rnacentral:piRNA from 1 species